rnacentral:rRNA from 1 species
UACGUAGGGAGCAAGCGUUGUCCGGAAUCAUUGGGCGUAAAGCGCGCGUAGGCGGCCCGAUAAGUCCGCUGUGAAAGUCAACGGCUCAACUGUUGGAUGCCGGUGGAUACUGUCGGGCUACGAGUACGGAAGAGGCAAGUGGAAUUCCUGGUGUAGCGGUGGAAUGCGCAGAUAUCAGGAGGAACACCUAUAGCGAAGGCAGCUUGCUGGGACGUUACUGACGCUAAGGCGCGAAAGCGUGGGGAGCGAACGAGGA